GACGAACGCUGGCGGCGUGCUUAACACAUGCAAGUCGAACGGAAAGGCCCUGCUUUUGUGGGGUGCUCGAUUGGCGAACGGGUGAGUAACACGUGAGUAUCCCGUCCCUGACUGUGGGAUAACUUUAGGAAACUGGGGCUAAUAUCGGAUAGGAUCUCCUGCUCCGUGGUGGGGGUUGGAAAGUUUCGGCCGUUGGGGAUGGACUCGCGGCUUACGAGCUUGUUUGGGGAGUAGUGGCGUACCAAGCGUGUGACGGGUAGGCGGCAUGGGAGCGUUAACGGCCACAAUGGGCCUACGGUAGGGACCAGAAUCGAACCGGAGGCAGCAGUCGAGAGUAUUACACAGCAGGGGCGAGCCUGAUGCAGCGGCGCCGCGUGCGGAAUGACGGCCUUCGGGUUAUGAACCGCUUUCGCCUUUGACGAGGCGUGAGUGACGGUAAUGAGUAAAAAAGCACCGGCUAACUACGUG
rnacentral:rRNA from 1 species